GACGAACGCUGGCGGCGUGCCUAAUACAUGCAAGUAGAACGCACAGUUUAUACCGUAGCUUGCUACACCAUAGACUGUGAGUUGCGAACGGGUGAGUAACGCGUAGGUAACCUGCCUGGAGCCGGGGGAUAACUAUGGAAAACGUUGGCUAUACCGCCAAAAUAUUAAUUAUGCCUGGAAAAUUAAUUAAAGGUUGCAAUGGAACCACAACCAAUGGACCUGGCUUUGUUUUAGCUAGUAGGUGAGGUAACGGCUCACCUAGGCGACGAUACAUAGCCGACCUGAGAGGGUGAUCGGCCACACUGGGACUGAGACACGGCCCAGACUCCUACGGGAGGCAGCAGUAGGGAAUCUUCGGCAAUGGACGAAAGUCUGACCGAGCAACGCCGCGUGAGUGAAGAAGGUUUUCGGAUCGUAAAGCUCUGUUGUAAGAGAAGAACGGGUGUGAGAGUGGAAAGUUCACACUGUGACGGUAUCUUACCAGAAAGGGACGGCUAACUACGUG
rnacentral:rRNA from 1 species